UAUGUUUUAGUGGUACACAUCCUCUAUAAAAGACUCCAUUUGCAUGUCCCAAACACAUACGAAUUCGUAGAGCAACAUAUAGUCCAAACUCCCAAGUGUUGUAAGAAGAAAAGAGAUGAGGAUCACACAAAUUCUGCUCUUGGGUCUUGCCCUCAUGGUGCUAUCAUCGGGUAAGAUUAAUAUGUGAGCAUAAUACUAUACAUAUUACAUGCGGCAAUUACCCUAUCCUAACCAAAAAAAUUUCCUUUCGGUGCCUGUAGACAUGGCAGCCAUUGAGGGGAAAGUGCAUUGCGGCCCUGAGAUUGGAACGGGCCCGUUGCCAUGUGAUCGCGCGAAUUGCACGACAUGGGGACGAGGCUCCUCUGACGUACUGCAGGGUGCAGUUGGGCCACUGACAGGUGGGCCCGAAAGCAAGUUGGCCCACCUGUCAGUGACCCAACUGCACCCUGCAGUACGUCAGGGGAGCCGAGUCCACGACAUGGUGUAGGAACAAUGGUGACAAGAAUGCUGAGUGUGUUCCCGGAGGAUGCAGGUGUGUAGCAUGCUGGAAAGAGCCCCCCAGCUCGCCAUUAUCAAGCUAGGGCCAAAAAGGCACACAAGGGUCUGGGAAUAGUAUUGUAAGAUACCUUUUGCCUGAAAUAAAGCAAGUGAUGUUGAGUCUUUUUUUUUUUGUGGGUGAGUGAUGUUGAGUCUUGAGUAGACAAGUUUCAUGCGUGAAGAUCCGUUUGCCCAUGGAAAACAAUGGGAUAUACCCUUAUACGAUAAAGGUCCUGACUACCUCGGCUCUUCAUCCAUAUAGGGGUCUUGCGACUCAAACUUCCUCAAGUGAUCUUGCCUUGUUUUUGUCCUUUAAAAAUAUCCUUUUGAUUUAGAAAGUAUUCCAGAAUUUCAUUAAAUCUUCUGUAAAUUCAAAAAUGUUCAUGAUUUUCCAGAAUGUUGAAAAAUAC
rnacentral:lncRNA from 1 species